GAAACACGGACCAAGGAGUCUAACAUGUGCGCGAGUCACUGGGUCCUGCGAAACCCAAAGGCGCAAUGAAACGUGAAGACCGCUUCGGCGGUUGAGUUGCGAUCCUUCCGCUGAAGGGGAGGCGCAGCAACGGCCCGCCCUGAACGCUUACGUCGUAGGGGCGGCGCUAGAGCGCACACGUUGGCACCCGAAAGAUGGUGAACUAUGCCCGGGCAGGACGAGGUCAGAGGAAACUCUGGUGGAGGUCCGAAGCGAUUCUGACGUGCAAAUCGAUCGUCCGACCUGGGUAUAGGGGCGAAAGACUAAUCGAACCAUC
rnacentral:rRNA from 1 species